rnacentral:rRNA from 1 species
GACGAACGCGGCGGCGUGCCUAAUACAUGCAAGUAGAACGCUGAAGGAGGAGCUUGCUUCUCUGGAUGAGUUGCGAACGGGUGAGUAACGCGUAGGUAACCUGCCUGGUAGCGGGGGAUAACUAUUGGAAACGAUAGCUAAUACCGCAUAAGAGUAGAUGUUGCAUGACAUUUGCUUAAAAGGUGCAAUUGCAUCACUACCAGAUGGACCUGCGUUGUAUUAGCUAGUUGGUGGGGUAACGGCUCACCAAGGCGACGAUACAUAGCCGACCUGAGAGGGUGAUCGGCCACACUGGGACUGAGACACGGCCCAGACUCCUACGGGAGGCAGCAGUAGGGAAUCUUCGGCAAUGGACGGAAGUCUGACCGAGCAACGCCGCGUGAGUGAAGAAGGUUUUCGGAUCGUAAAGCUCUGUUGUAAGAGAAGAACGAGUGUGAGAGUGGAAAGUCACACUGUGACGGUAUCUACCCAGAAAGGACG